rnacentral:tRNA from 6 species
GCGGGGUAGAGCAGUUUGGUAGCUCGCAAGGCUCAUAACCUUGAGGUCACGGGUUCAAAUCCUGUCUCCGCUA